rnacentral:rRNA from 1 species
AUUGAACGCUGGCGGCAGGCCUAACACAUGCAAGUCGAACGAGUGGCGGACGGGUGAGUAAUGUCUGGGAAACUGCCCGAUGGCGGGGGAUAACUACUGGAAACGGUAGCUAAUACCGCAUACCAUCGGAUGUGCCCAGAUGGGAUUAGCUAGUAGGUGGGGUAACGGCUCACCUAGGCGACGAUCCCUAGCUGGUCUGAGAGGAUGACCAGCCACACUGGAACUGAGACACGGUCCAGACUCCUACGGGAGGCAGCAGUGGGGAAUAUUGCGCAAUGGGCGCAAGCCUGACGGAGCCACGCCGCGUGAAUGAAGAAGGCCUUCGGGUUGUAAAGUACUUUCAGCAGGGAGGCGUUACUUGCAGAAGAAGCACCGGCUAACUCCGUGCCAGCAGCCGCGGUAAUAC